UACACUCCUACGGGAGGCAGCAGUGGGGAAUUUUGGACAAUGGGCGAAAGCCUGAUCCAGCCAUGCCGCGUGCAGGAUGAAGGCCUUCGGGUUGUAAACUGCUUUUGUACGGAACGAAACGGCCUUUUCUAAUAAAGAGGGCUAAUGACGGUACCGUAAGAAUAAGCACCGGCUAACUACGUGCCAGCAGCCGCGGUAAUACGUAGGGUGCAAGCGUUAAUCGGAAUUACUGGGCGUAAAGCGUGCGCAGGCGGUUAUGUAAGACAGUUGUGAAAUCCCCGGGCUCAACCUGGGAACUGCAUCUGUGACUGCAUAGCUAGAGUACGGUAGAGGGGGAUGGAAUUCCGCGUGUAGCAGUGAAAUGCGUAGAUAUGCGGAGGAACACCGAUGGCGAAGGCAAUCCCCUGGACCUGUACUGACGCUCAUGCACGAAAGCGUGGGGAGCAAACAGGAUUAGAUACCCUAGUAGUCCCA
rnacentral:rRNA from 1 species